rnacentral:rRNA from 1 species
UGCGUAGGCGGAAUGAUAAGUUAGUGGUGAAAGCCCCCGGCUCAACCGGGGAACUGCCAUUAAUACUGUCAUUCUUGAGUAUAGUUGAAGUGGGCGGAAUGUAUCAUGUAGCGGUGAAAUGCUUAGAUAUGAUACAGAACACCGAUAGCGUAGGCAGCUUGCUAAACUAUAACUGACGCUCAGGCACGAAAGCGUGGGGGGCAAACAGGAUUAGAUACCCUGGUAGUCC